UAGGGAAUCUUCGGCAAUGGACGAAAGUCUGACCGAGCAACGCCGCGUGAGUGAAGAAGGUUUUCGGAUCGUAAAACUCUGUUGUUAGAGAAGAACAAGGACGUUAGUAACUGAACGUCCCCUGACGGUAUCUAACCAGAAAGCAACGGCUAACUACGUGCCAGCAGCCGCGGUAAUACGUAGGUGGCAAGCGUUGUACGGAUUUAUUGGGCGUAAAGCGAGCGCAGGCGGUUUCUUAAGUCUGAUGUGAAAGGCCCCGGCUCAACCGGGGAGGGUCAUUGUAAACUGGGAUACUUGAGGGCAGAAGAAGAGAGUGGAAUUCCAUGUAUAGCAGUGAAAUGCGUAGAUAUAUGGAGGAACACCAGUGGCGAAAGCGACUCUCUGGUCUGUAACUGACGCGGAGGCUCGAAAGCGUGGGGAGCAAACAGG
rnacentral:rRNA from 1 species